rnacentral:misc_RNA from 1 species
UCUGUGCUUUGUUGGUGGUUCUUCUUGUUGUUCUUGCUUUGCUUUCACAGUAAGCAGAGUUAAAAAAUUCAUAGCUAGAAAUCAAAAGCAGAAAAAAAUCCCUCGCAAAAGAAGUGGAAGAAAUAAGAAUUCGAGGAUAUUCUUUUGUGGGUUUUGAUUAGUUCACGAAUUGGUGAACCAAAGUCUUGUUUUUUUCUUGUUAAUAUUAGAGGGGUUUUGUGAUUAAAUUUUGAGGACCCUUUUCUGAAGAGGAUACAGAAAGGUAGAGAGAGAUAUGCAGACAGAGGCAAGAGUGGGAGUGGUGGUAGAGGGAGGGACGAGGGCUUUCAAUUCGCAGAAGAAACAGCAAAAGCCAGUGCAACAGCAGCAAUCCCAGAUCGGAACAGUUUCGCAGCUUAUGGCCGGUGGCAUGGCCGGUGCUCUUAGCAAGACUUGCACUGCACCCCUUGCUCGCCUCACUAUACUCUUUCAGGUGCAAGGUAUGCACUCUGAUGUUGCAACAUUGAGAAAGGCUAGCAUAUGGCAUGAGGCUUCUCGAAUAUUUAGGGAGGAAGGAUUUAGAGCUUUCUGGAAGGGGAAUCUUGUCACAAUUGCUCAUCGGUUGCCUUACUCAUCUUUCAAUUUUUAUUCAUACGAACACUAUAAAAAGGUUUCUAAACUUGCAUGAAUGGUUAUUGAAACACGGUUUGAUUGCAUUGUUAGUGCAGAAUCUAAGCUUUGCUCCUUGUAGCUCAAACUUUGAUAAAGCGAUUUUUUGUUGCAGUUGCUACAUAUGAUACCUGGACUAGAAAGCCACAGGAAAAAUGUGGGUGGAGAUGUUUUUGUUCCUUUUGUAGGCGGUGGUAUGGCUGGAAUAACAGCAGCAUCUGUUACAUAUCCAUUGGAUCUUGUAAGAACACGCCUUGCGGCUCAGACAAAUAUAAUCUAUUACAGAGGUAUAUUGCAUGCAUUACGAACAAUUAUCAGAGAGGAGGGUGUUUUGGGACUCUACAAGGGACUGGGAACAACACUUUUGGGUGUUGGGCCCAGUAUAGCUAUCAGCUUUUCAGUGUAUGAGACCUUACGAUCUUUUUGGCAAUCACACAGGCCCCAUGAUCCUACUGUUGCAGUGAGUUUGGCUUGUGGUAGUCUAUCAGGCAUUGCAUCCUCAACAGGUGAUUAACCUGCAAAAUUUAAGUGAAAGGCUACUUGCACAUUUUAACUGAGAUAUAUUAGUGUUUUGUUAUUCAAACAAAGCAUGGUCUUUGCUCUUGAAAGUUCAUCUCAGCUAUGUGUCCACGGUUCAAGUCUGUCAACCAUGAUUAAUGUUUUGUGUGUAAUUUUCUGCAAAAUGAUUGCACAUAUUCCUUGAAUAAUCUUUUUGCUGCGUAUUUUCUUUGAAUAGUAGCCCUUUCCAUGUCAUGUCUGCUCCCUAUGUUUACCAUAAGACAGAGGAACAGGAGAUGUAAAGGUUAAAGUAUUUUUUUCACUUGUCACAGAAAUUGACUGUAUGUUUGGUAAACUUUUCAUUGGACUACUCUUUAUCUGAUUAAAUGAUGUCAAUAUAUAAUCAAAGAAGUUAAUUGUUGUAGCUGUUUAUUAUGCUUUUGAUGCAGAGAAGCAAGGUGUGGUGCAGGCUCUGCAUUAAGUAUCUAACCAGACUGACCCCUAGAGCCAGAGACCCGACAGGAGUUAUUUAUAUCUUGCAUUUGAUAAUUUAGUAAGGAAGUUGAGGAAGAAAAAAAAACCAUUUUAUUGCCUUCCAUCUAACUUUAUUUUCUAUUUAAGAAUCUCAACUGCAUUAACUUCAUUUCUCCAACAUUUGUUGUGGAACUUGUCUCCCCAUGCAUUGCAGUUGAUUCUAUAAUAGGUGGCACUAUUCUCAGGUGAACUAGUACUGUUCUCUCAGUAAUCAAAUGUGAGAGGUGUCCUCUUUGAGGUAUGCUUCUCAAUUAGGUUUCCUUGCCAAUUGCAUUAAAUUAGGAUGUGGAAUCCUGGUGAUGCAGUUGUCAAAGGUGCUGCCCACUGUUUUGUAUUAAAAAGGUUAAUUCACAUUUUUCUUUUUAUAUGGGUACGUUAGAAAGGAUAAUUCAGAGAGUUUGUUCCUUCUAUAGUUUACCAACAAUGACAUGAGAAGGUUUUGAAAAUGAGGAGUUGAUGCAAGUGCAUGCACAAAGAUGAAAUUCUACCCAUUCCUCUUUGGUAUAAACUAGUUUGUGUUCCUAAUUGAUUAUGUUUAUUACUCAUGUUAAAAUCUAUAAGUCUAAAUUCCCUUUGUGAGCUAGAACUUGGUAUGUUCAAUUUGUUUGAGAUUAAAUAUCAUUUGUAAUUGCCUGUAUUGCUAGAUUUUCUGUUGGCAUGCUAUUGCUAGGUAGCCUCUGUCAUGGCAGUAUUUGAUAAAUGAUGAUGGAUUGGAAUUUCAUAACACCCAGUGUGGAGGUCUUUUUUUUCUUUUAAUGAUUCAUUUGCUUUUGAGAUUAUUAUUCCCAUGUGACUGACUUUUCCAAUCCUUUAUGCUCUCUCUCUCUCUCUCUCUCU